GGAUCCAGACUUUGAUUCUGGCUCAGGACGAACGCUGGCGGCGUGCCUAACACAUGCAAGUCGAGCGGAGACAGUGAGUAGCUUGCUACGAGCUGUUUUAGCGGCGGACGGGUGAGUAACGCGUGAGCAACCUUUCCCAGACAGGGGAAUAACACACCGAAAGGUGUACUAAUACCGCAUAAGACCACGGGAUCACAUGGUUCUGAGGUAAAAGAUUUAUCGGUUUGGGGCGGGCUCGCGUCCGAUUAGGUAGUUGGUGAGGUAACGGCCCACCAAGCCGACGAUCGGUAGCCGACCUGAGAGGGUGAUCGGCCACAUUGGGACUGAGACACG
rnacentral:rRNA from 1 species